UCUCCGUAGGUGAACCUGCGGAGGGAUCAUUACCGAGUGAGGGUUCCGGCCCGACCUCCAACCCUUUGUGAAUUCGACCCAGUUGCCUCGGGGGCGACCCGGCCUUCGGGCGUCGGGGCCCCCGGUGGGCCAACCUUCACAACCUGCAUCCGUGCGUCGGCUGAAUGGAUGAAUUCAAUCAAAACUUUCAACAACGGAUCUCUUGGUUCUGGCAUCGAUGAAGAACGCAGC
rnacentral:misc_RNA from 1 species